UAAAUAUAUCCCCAGAGAUAUGCUGUAGAAGGCUGAGUUAGGCAAAGUGCACAGGACAGAUCAGAACUUACAGGAAUUAUUUUAUGUGGUGAUAUUAACACAAUGUAAAAACGCUUUCAUGCUGAGACAAUUGCAGAUAUAUUAAUGGAGUAAAAUGUAAAUCCACACAUAUUUUUUAAAUGAAGCAUGCAAAUUCAAAGAAAAUUUGAGCUUAGGGAGUUUAAAAUAGGCUGCUUUGGACUAUUUCCCUAACCUCCCAGAAGUCCUUUUCUACUUUUCUGUCCUGAAGAGGAUGGUCAUAGGAAAGUGUGAGAAGUGCUGGCUUUAGAGAACAUAUCUGUAUUUUGUCCCUGAGGAACUGGUGGGAACCUCUCUUCUAGAGUAUCUAAAGGAAUCACCCCUGCUCCCAUGUAAG
rnacentral:lncRNA from 1 species